AGUAAAGUAAACGAAAGAUACUCAAACCUGAAACAUCGAUUUUGACAGUAGCCAUGAGUGCCAGAAACUUAAUCCUGUUUGUAGCAAUUCUGAUGAUGUUCUCUACUUCAUUCGCCUUAACGAAGGAAGGCAGAAGUUCAUAUUCUGAUAAGGGACCGCCACUACCACCAGCUCCAUAUCAGGAAAGUGCAUGCGACAACUGCAAGACCACCCCUGGCGAUUUUGCAAUUCUUAGUGAUACUCCGGCGAAGUGCCUUCUUCUAGUGAAAGCCACUGGAAAGCGAGAAGCGGAAUCGGAUCCGCAAACAAAUGAAGCCCCAUCCAAUAAAAAGCCGAAAACGGAGCCGCAAAAUCAAAAUCAAGCCAUCAUUACUGCACCUUCUCACGAUCACAGAGAGAAAUCGAAUUGCACCAACAUGAACCAGGAAGACGACAGGUACCCCAAAGCAAUUCCUUUUCCUUCAUGUGAGGAAUUUGUGUCGUGGCAAGAUAGAUGCUUGCAUUUAGACUCCUCUAUCUCAUCACCAAUUUUAUCUCCCGCAACUGAAUUCCCAUUCAAUAACAAAGGAGAACUUGUGAAAGAGCUGAUCCAUGACUACAAUCAUCACGAGUUGAAGCUGGUAAGUUACAGGGAUAUUGUCCUUGGCAGAGGUCAGCCUGUGAACGCUAAAAAUCUCAAGGUGACUUUCCACUAUGAUCUGUAUAAUAAACAUCUUAAGCGCGUUCAAACCAAUGCGUUAGAGCGUUCUGCUGAAGAAGUUCACCUCUGCUGGCAUCGAUUUGGUCAAGGAUUUGAGGAAGGAAUUCGAGGCAUGAGACCAGGGGGGAUAAGAAGGGUUGUUGUCCUUGAACAAUAUCCACCUAUGGUUGAAGAAUAUGGGAUCUUUGAUGUGGCCUUGCUUAAAGUUGAGAUAUCAUGCAGCUGUCCACAACCACAUGCAAACCUGUUCGAUGCUUAGUUUCAUGGUAGUGUUUACUAGAAUAAGAGGAGACCACGUCAACUCCAGUGUAAGAUUAAGAUGCAGCACAUAUGGAGCAAUAAAUGAUAAUAUUUAUGUCUCAAAAUGCUGCGAAAACAUCAAGAAAAUAGUUAAUAAGUGUAUUAAAAU
rnacentral:misc_RNA from 1 species